CCGAAAGGCGUAGUCGAUGGGAAUCAGGCGAAUAUUCCUGAGCCGGGUGGAUGUGACGGAUCGGAAAGCGUGUCACGACUUAUCGGAUUGUCGUGGCUGUGGACCGGUUCCAGGAAACAGCACCACCAUUGAGACCGUACCCGAAACCGACACAGGUGGACUGGUUGAGCAUACCAAGGCGCUUGAGAGAACUAUGCUGAAGGAACUCGGCAAAUUGCUCCCGUAAGUUCGCGAGAAGGGAGCCUGGCUUUGCGCAAGCAAUGUCCAGGGGCACAGACCAGGGGGUGGCGACUGUUUACUAAAAACACAGGGCUCUGCGAAGUCGCAAGACGACGUAUAGGGUCUGACGCCUGCCCGGUGCCGGAAGGCUAAAAGGCGGAGGG
rnacentral:rRNA from 1 species